GUCCACAGCCACACCAUCUGAAUGCACCUGAUCUUGGAAGUUAAGCAGGGUGGGGCUGGUUAGUCCUUGGAUGGGAGACCACCAGGGAACACUGUAGGCUGAGUGCA
rnacentral:rRNA from 1 species